GUCCAUCCAUGAAUGGAGGAGAAGACGUUUAUGAUGGAAGUUGUGAUGAAAGAAAUAAUCAUCUUCCUGUUUGUUCUGGAUCUUAAUUUAGUUUAUAACCCAUAAGUCCCUCUUUUGAUUGGCCUAACUUUUUAGCCCUACAAAAUGCUUGUGUGGGAAUAGCUGUUCCCCUCCCCACACAAAUCGUAAGAACCUUCCAUUAUUUCUAAGAAUUCAAGCAGAAGAGAGGGAUGCUUCUUUCAAUAAAAUAGUUUGAAGGAGUAAAUACAAAAAGUUAAUUGAGUAUUUGUCCCUGUAACCUUUCCAGGCUAUACAUGCCCCUUGGAACGGUAAAUUGUCUUAGAAAGAAAGUAUUACUUUAGAGUUUAUAUAGGUUUAUUUUGAAUCAUCAUCUCCAUUUUACAAGUGGGAAAUGGAAUCUCAGAGAAAUUACAAGGUCAAUUAGAGGUGGAGCUAUUGUUGAACUCUGGGUUACUAGACUCAGUUAAGUCUAAUGAGAUGAAGAGAUGGCAAGUGUGUAAGGAGAGCCAGAGAGUUGUCAGGGGUCAUAGGUAUCUAGAGAGCUGCCUGCCUAUAAUUUAUAGUCUGACAAGAAAUGGCAAUACAAUGUGAUAAACACUAUAAAGCAACAUGGGAGUCCUAAGAAGCAGCGACUAAUUCUGCAUGGGUAAGCAAACAAAGACUUCAAACUUUGUAUAGGUGUUUACAAAACAUAAAGUUUAGAAAAGAGGAUUGCCUGCAGAGAGAACAGUGUUUGCAAAAUCUCCAUGUACUUAGCAU
rnacentral:lncRNA from 1 species